CCUGCCCAAAGGGAAAGUCCAGGGAUGGUGUUGAAAUUCCGUUCUGAGCUAGAGGGCUGUUUUAACAGAGAAAGGAAUCUAUAAUUGGCAAGAAAGACCAAGCUUAAUGUCAAAGCCGUUUGAUAAGUCUGAGAUCACAGAAUGUCUAGGCCAAGACUUAGUCAGAAUGAAACAUGUUUCUGGAGAACAGGAAGCAAGGCCACAUGCUGAGCAGGAGGAGCCAGCACAGGGUGGAGUAGUGAAGGGCCACUCUGCCGCAGCCGCGUCUCAAUGGAUUUCACUGUGGCACAAAAUGUUCCUGCGGUCCAAAAUUGAGAAGGGAAUUGAAACAAGGGAAAUUUUACUGUUAUGAAAUAUAAUAAA
rnacentral:lncRNA from 1 species